UACGUAGGGUGCAAGCGUUAUCCGGAAUUAUUGGGCGUAAAGAGCCCGUAGGCGGUUUGUCGCGUCUGCUGUGAAAACCGGAGGCUCAACCUCCGGCCUGCAGUGGGUACGGGCAAACUAGAGUGCGGUAGGGGAGAUUGGAAUUCCUGGUGUAGCGGUGGAAUGCGCAGAUAUCAGGAGGAACACCGAUGGCGAAGGCAGAUCUCUGGGCCGUAACUGACGCUGAGGAGCGAAAGCGUGGGGAGCGAACAGG
rnacentral:rRNA from 1 species